UACGAAGGGGGCUAGCGUUGCUCGGAAUCACUGGGCGUAAAGGGUGCGUAGGCGGGUCUUUAAGUCAGGGGUGAAAUCCUGGAGCUCAACUCCAGAACUGCCUUUGAUACUGAGGAUCUUGAGUUCGGGAGAGGUGAGUGGAACUGCGAGUGUAGAGGUGAAAUUCGUAGAUAUUCGCAAGAACACCGGUGGCGAAGGCGGCUCACUGGUCCGGAACUGACGCUGAGGCACGACAGCGUGGGGAGCAAACAGG
rnacentral:rRNA from 1 species